AACGAACGCUGGCGGCAGGCUUAACACAUGCAAGUCGAACGGUAAGGCCCUUCGGGGUACACGAGUGGCGAACGGGUGAGUAACACGUGGGUGAUCUGCCCUGCACUUCGGGAUAAGCCUGGGAAACUGGGUCUAAUACCGGAUAGGACCCUGGGAUGCAUGUCCUGGGGUGGAAAGCUUUUGCGGUGUGGGAUGGGCCCGCGGCCUAUCAGCUUGUUGGUGGGGUGAUGGCCUACCAAGGCGACGACGGGUAGCCGGCCUGAGAGGGUGACCGGCCACACUGGGACUGAGAUAUGGCCCAGACUCCUACGGGAGGCAGCAGUGGGGAAUAUUGCACAAUGGGCGCAAGCCUGAUGCAGCGACGCCGCGUGAGGGAUGACGGCCUUCGGGUUGUAAACCUCUUUCAGCACCGACGAAGCGCAAGUGACGGUAGGUGCAGAAGAAGGACCGGCCAACUACGUGCCAGCCGCCGCAGUAC
rnacentral:rRNA from 1 species